AGGCAAAGGAUGAGACCUGUUAGUAGGUCGUGAAAGUCUUCUGUCCACCUGCUCAAUGAAAUCAACGAUGGUCCGCCUCGGGAAUCGAUAACGGCAAAUUAGUUCUCGGUCGCUGAAAACAUCUAAGGGGAUUUCAAAGGAUUUGAAGAAGCACAUUCACCCUUAUUGGACAUUCGGAUAACCUCGAACUCUACCGCAUGCUCUGGUGAAGGGUCUGAACUCAGAGGUUGGAACAAAAGACUUGUCGACCGACAUUCCUGGGUGUUUCUAAAACGAAUGCCAAUGAUGAAUCUACUUUAAUUAAGUACUAAGAUGCCACAAUAUCUCAAUGCGCUGUAAGAUGUACAAUCAAGACAUACGGAAAGUAACGAUACAGGUGAUUCAAAAGUUUUCCAUCGCCUGUCAGCUCAAAGUCACCAAA